GCAUUAUUUGACGUUAGCGACAGAAGAAGCACCGGCUAACUCCGUGCCAGCAGCCGCGGUAAUACGGAGGGUGCGAGCGUUAAUCGGAAUUACUGGGCGUAAAGCGCAUGCAGGUGGUUUGUUAAGUCAGAUGUGAAAGCCCGGGGCGUCAACCUCGGAAUAGCAUUUGAAACUGGCAGACUAGAGUACUGUAGAGGGGGUAGAAUUUCAGGUGUAGCGGUGAAAUGCGUAGAGAUCUGAAGGAAUACCGGUGGCGAAGGCGGCCCCCUCGGACAGAUACUGACACUCAGAUGCGAAAGCGUGGGGAGCAAACAGGAUUAGAUACCCUGGUAG
rnacentral:rRNA from 1 species